rnacentral:lncRNA from 1 species
GGCUGCGGCCUGCCCCUCAGCCUCCUCCGCGCGGUUACCCCUGUACCCGCCGCCAUCCGUCCUGGCGCUCCGGAUGAGUCAAUGAGGGGCAGGGCCCGAGGAGUGGUCUUCCCAAGAACCCCUGGUGGCCUCCCAAGGCCGGUGCUGUGUACCUCCUCCCCGACAAAAGGGGAAACUGAGGCCCCGAGGGGAGUGGGAAGAGCCGGCUGGACGUCAGGCCCAGCCGCUGGUGCAGUGGUCCGUCCCCUCUGCCGGGGUGGGCCCCUCGGGUUUCGCGUGUCCUCGGGAAAGAGACUGGCGGGUGAGCCGCGCCCUCGGCCUUCGCUGGGCUAAGCCGACCCCAUGCAGACGUCAAACCCCCCUAGGUCGGCACAGCCUCUCUGCGGGGAGGCUUAGUGCCCCCUUGAGAAACGGCUUGGCAACGCUGUGCCCGGGGCCUUGCACGCGGGCUGAGGGGGCUAGAGACCUCGCGACUUUUACUCCCCCGACCCCGAUCUCCGACUCCUGACUUUGGAAGCCCCCAAAGCUGCUUUUCGGUUGCCUACAAAGUGUCGGUCAUUGUGCCACGUCCUUGGAACCGUGAACUCAUUUUCUCCUCAAUAACCUUUAAAAAGUAGCUGUAAAACCUCCAUUUUACAGACCAGUUGGCUGAGGUUUAAAUGGAGGACGCUCCCAGGGCCCCAGAGGGGCGAAUUCCAGACUCCUUUGCCAGGACCUUGUACUAAGCCCCUUCCCUACGCUUUUCCCUGCCUAGGCCUCGUGGGCUGUGCGGCUAUCCUGGAGACAGAUGACAGCUCUCCCUUGGAUGGCUUUGCUGGUUCCGCACCAGCCAGCGCCCCCAUUUUUCCUGCAGCACCCUGAUCUGCACUCCCUGAGGGGCUCCCACUGUCCGCGGUGUGAGGAUGUCCCUGGAUAGUCCACUGUGUGCAGAGGCAUGGGAGUUGUCAUGUUGGGAACAUGCUAGACCUCAGUAUCCUUGAGCUUGAAGAAAGACGACAGAACACUGGAGACCAAGUACUUACAGCCUUCUGCUCUGUGGCCCCUCCUCACUCCAGGGAUGCUGCCUUGGGUCUGGAAACUGUUAGAGGAAACCCCAAGAGGUGCAGGCACUGAGCCUCUCAGGACAAUGACCUGGGGUCCCAGCUCCCCUGGAGGGGCCUCCUCAUGAUUGUUUGGGGGUUGAUCACAGACCAAGAGUGACGAGUGAUGUCACCCUGUGACUCAUGGCUGGACCUUCUUGCCCCUAUUGUCUCAGCACAACAUUAUUCGACUUUUCCCUCAGCGUGGGUGGGCAGAGGAAAAGCCCUGUGGCUCUGGGGACUUGGGAUCCAGAGUUGAAGACCCUUCAGCUGGCUCUGCCCUGCCAGUGCCACAGAGUGCCAUGGCCCAGGAAGACAGGUUUUCUUCCAUCUAGGCCAGGCCAUCCAGUGGCCAUCCUCCGUGUCCUCCCGCCUCCUCCUGGUGUGACUUCUGAAAACCAAGAAUUUGUUCCUGUUGACUUUUUCUGUGCUAUGGACCAUUGUCCUCUCACCCACUCAAUAAAUCUUGAAACAUGC